rnacentral:rRNA from 1 species
AGAGUUUGAUCCUGGCUCAGAACGAACGCUGGCGGCAGGCCUAACACAUGCAAGUCGAACGCCCCGCAAGGGGAGUGGCAGACGGGUGAGUAACGCGUGGGAACCUACCUUACGGUCGGGAAUAGCUCAGGGAAACUUGGGGUAAUACCGGAUACGCCCUUACGGGGAAAGAUUUAUCGCCGUUAGAUGGGCCCGCGUAGGAUUAGCUAGUUGGUGAGGUAAUGGCUCACCAAGGCGACGAUCCUUAGCUGGUCUGAGAGGAUGAUCAGCCACACUGGGACUGAGACACGGCCCAGACUCCUACGGGAGGCAGCAGUGGGGAAUAUUGGACAAUGGGCGCAAGCCUGAUCCAGCCAUGCCGCGUGAGUGACGAAGGCCUUAGGGUUGUAAAGCUCUUUUGGCGGGGAAGAUAAUGACGGUACCCGCAGAAUA